rnacentral:rRNA from 1 species
UACGAACCGUCCAAACGUUAUUCGGAAUCACUGGGCUUAAAGAGUCCGUAGGCGGCCAACUAAGUCCGACGUGAAAUCCCCAGGCUUAACCUGGGAACUGCGUCGGAUACUGGAUGGCUUGAAUCCGGGAGAGGGAUGCAGAAUUCCAGGUGUAGCGGUGAAAUGCGUAGAUAUCUGGAGGAACACCGGUGGCGAAGGCGACGUCCUGGACCGGCAUUGACGCUGAGGCGCGAAAGCCAGGGGAGCAAACGGG